UACGAAGGGUGCAAGCGUUAAUCGGAAUUACUGGGCGUAAAGCGUGCGUAGACGGUUAUGUAAGUCGGGUGUGAAAGCCCCGGGCUCAACCUGGGAAUUGCAUUCGAGACUGCAUGGCUAGGGUGCGGAAGAGGGAAGCGGAAUUUCCGGUGUAGCGGUGAAAUGCGUAGAUAUCGGAAGGAACACCAGUGGCGAAAGCGGCUUCCUGGUCCAGCACCGACGUCAGGCACGAAAGCGUGGGGAGCAAACAGG
rnacentral:rRNA from 1 species